rnacentral:lncRNA from 1 species
UGAGAAAGAAGUCACCUUGGCAAAUAGUCUGCAAGUUGGUUCCCUUCUCUAAAACAAUGGUUUACUUGAAUUCCAACUCUGUUCUUGAUGGUGUUAAUAGUAUCAAUAACUUGUCUUAGCUUCAGAUUUGUGCCCGAGUUGUUGAUUAGCAUCUUGGCUAUGAUUAUUUAAUCAAGUUCAAGAAUAAAAUCAGCGUACCCAUGUUGAUAGCACCAUUUUAGACCAAACUUAGUUACCAAAGACUCAACCAUGUUACUAUUAUUACAGUUGAUAGAAAUGGAGAAAGCCAUGAUCAAGUCUCCCUGACUAUCUUUUACAAUUCCCCCAAUGCCAGGCUUUCCAAUUUCAUGCAAAUAGCUAUUAUCUGUAAUAAUUUUUAUAGAGCUAACUGGUGGAGAACUCCAUAUGACUUACUUCCAUCUCUGAUCUAAGUUUCUCCACUGUGUAACAAAAAAUUGGCCAAUGAUUGACGUCUUGCAAAUUUCCAGCUGUUUUUGCCAAAACAAAUUUGAUAUUCUAAAAAACUUGAGAGCUCAUCCUGUUGUGCAGGAAAUAUCUUUGACCUCCAUAUUUGCACGCACACCAUUUUUUCCAUAAUUCCCAACAUAUAAUAGUAGGAGUGAUCUUCAACAAAGUUUUAUGGAUAGUAUUCUUUGUUUUUCUUUUUGGUCAGUUUCACAAAAAAUGAAACAUUUUCUUAUUUGACAAAUAUUUAAUGACAAAAAGUCUACAAAUGUAGGUACCAUUUAUUUGACAAAAAGUCAGGUACCAUUUAUUUGACAAAAAGUCUACAAAUGUAUACUCUUGUAAAUGUAGUUUUGAAAACAUGGC